UACGUUAAAGAGUAACCAGUCACUUAGGGAACCCGCGGCUGGGGACUGUUGCUGUCUCCAUGGCAAUGGCGACCUGGCCAGACCUGAGGUCCACUCGGGUCCUAGUCCUGCACUCUGGGGUUAGGGGAACCCAGAGCCAGGUGUAUGGGGACAUCAGCCCCCCAAUUUGAGGACAGGGCCGGAGCAGAAGGGGCUGGAGAGGCCUUGUGCUAGACUCUGGGGAUAUGGAAAUGAGCAAAGUAGAUGUACCCCCGAAACUUGUGGACUAAUGGAGGAGACGGACCUUAAUCAGAUCGUCAUUCAAAGAUACUAUUACAAACUGUUCUGAGAGCCGAGGAAGCAGGAAGGAGCUGUGAGAGACUGAGCUCUAACCUUGGCCAUCAAAGACAAGCUGUGCAGCUCUGGUUUUUUGAGGGCAGGACAUGGAGGGUCAGGCCCAGCUGGAGGCGCACCAAAGCCCAGAGAAAAUUCAGAACCACGUGAACUUGUUGGAUUUCAGCCCCUUGAAGCACAUGUUGCUAUUGCAGCUGCCUUGAUAACUGGGGGGACAGGAGGAGCACGGCUUUCCCAUCUUGUACGGGGACUCGCCAAUCCAGUUGCCCCUGGAAGAGAAAAGGACCCAGGGAGACAGAGGAGCAUUAGGUGAGUAACCUUCACACAGAUGUCCAGAUCUCAGCGCUGCCACUGACCAGCCCUGGGGACCUGGGGCAAGUCACAUCUGCAAGCCUUGGUUUCUUUUUUUUCUUUCCUUUAUUUAUUUAUUUAUUUAUUUUGUUUUGCUCUGUCACCCAUAGCU
rnacentral:lncRNA from 1 species